CAGUACCUAGGUAAGGACUACUAGCCAGUCAGGAGCAGAUUAUGAGGGCCCUGACAGUACCUAGGUAAGGACUACUAGCCAGUCAGGAGCAGAG